CUGUCUGCUUGGCGUCAUAAACGUUGUUGGCUUGUAUUCUCGUUUGUGUUAACAGAUCGAUCUGCGUUUAAGACGCUAUCAACAACUCAGAUUGCCGUAUUCAAAACCUGUCAAAUAAUAUCCAAAUGAACCGUUACAUUGGUCUUACGUUUGUUGUCAUUAUUAUGGCUGGAAUUCUUUUUGAUUGCUCAGCGGAUUCCGUCAUGUGGCGCAGGCGUAGAAGACGACGUGCAGUAGUCACACCCUCUGGUUGGUGUGGUACCUGUAAGGACAUUGAGUGUCGCUUGAUCUUACCCGGAGUKCUUGACGAUGUUUUAAAUGAUUGUGAUUGUGGAGUUGAYUGUUAUUGCUCAUACAGCGAAACGACUAAACACGGUUUGCAAGUGUAUAGAUGUCGACCAAGCUGAUUGACUACGUUUACUGCAUAGAUUGCUGUAUUAGCAAAUAAAUGGUUAUCAAACAUGCACAGCUAAACAGCAGGGAAGUAAGGGUAUCAUGAAAUCAUGAGAACUGAUCAACAUUAUGAAUAAGGAAGUCCCUACUAUUGCACGGCGAGAGCRCGCAUCGGCUCAGACGCRCUACUUAUUUUAAGUACAGAAUAUUUGACCUUAUUCAGUGCCAUAGGCAGUAAGGAGCAAAAUUUAAUAACUUAUAGUGACUACAAAAUGGAAUACCCCCCUAGAUAUAUAAAAAAAUCUCCCAUAGAUAUAUAAAAAAAUCUCCCAUAGAUAUAUAAAAAAAUCUCCCAUAGAAAAGGCAACCAUAAAUACCCACCAUAAUUUUGAUAACGACCAACCACAAAUGUAAUAACAUGAAUGUAAUAAAUUGAACCAUAAAUGUAAUAAUCUAGAACCACCAUGAUUUUAUAGCUUUUAAUAGCAYUAGCUGACGGUUUUGACCGCCAUUUUGUUUGGGUAGGCAAAGUCUCGCAAAAUAACAAGGAAACAGUGUGAAAUCGAUGUCAAAUAAUCGCCUAAUAGCUGGCACUGAUCUGCCUCAACUGGAUGAUUUACUAUAUCACAUUUAUGGCAUCUAUGUUGGCAAUUACGUUUAUAUAUGGAUAAUGAAGUUAUAUAACAUGUAUAGUAAGGAUUUACAACAAUUAGCCAAUAUUUGUAGGCAAAACUUGUAAACAAACAAACAAACAGUUUUAUUUAUGAAUCAUCCUUAUAGUUACAUGUGAAAUUUACCCUCGCAGUUAGUCCAAGACUAUUCGAGGCGAGGGCGAUGAUAAUGAAGGAGAAAAACUAGUAUAAAAAUGUCAAAAAUCAGUCACAGUCUGAGUACGUAUAUUAGGAAAUUAUUCAAUAAAUAUUAGGUUAAAUAUAAAAUGAUGACAAAGGUGUUCCUCAGUAUGAAGCCUUUAGCUCGUUAAUAAUCUGAUCGAUAUCUAAAAAAUCGUCUGCUUUUUCUAAAAUCUCGAGAGAGAUGCUCUUAAUCAGUGUCUUGAAUUUGAACUUAUUCAGACUUUUAAUAGAAACAGGGAGACUAUUCCAGAUUUUAGAGCCCAUAAAACGAAAAGAACGCCUACAAGAUUCAGUUCUGACGCCAUCAACGUAAAUACAUUUAUUUGAUGUUGAUCGUGUCGUGUAUCGAUGGACAUUUUCCAAUGAUCUGAAUAAGCAGUUCAAAUUGUCUGGGGCUUGACUGUUGAAAAUAUCAUGCAUCAUAAUGCAUACCCGCUCAAAAAACAUGAAGUUGAUGGGAAGUGAAUACUUGUGUCGUGAAAAUCGGACUUUGAAGAGUGGCUGUCAUUUUGUUGGGUUUUGUAAACAAAUGUAAUAUAUUGAGUAUAUAUUACAACAGAAGUCUGCAUUUAUUAAUCACGUGCUUGAAAAAUCUCAAGUGUUAACUCGUCUUUAGAGAGGAUAUAACUAUUUUUGUUGUUGAUGAUGAAAUGUAAAGGUCAAAUUAACCGCACAACUUUUGCCUACAACGCAUUACAUGCAACAUGCCUAAGUCAUCCCUACAACCUGGAUGCAACUUAACUGUCAUCUAUCACACACUUAUCCUGAAUCACUACAACAGUUGUAGCCAUGUUGUAAGAGACGACUUGGACAGUGAAGUCUUUGAUUUGAUUGGUUCAAAUAUUCCGCCAAUUGCCAUGUAUGUAUUCUGUGCGGCUUCUAUUGGAAGUCCUUACAAUCAAUAAUUAGUACAUUUAUACUUUAAUACCCUUUUCUGAAAAUAAACAAAAUAAAAGAAACA